GACGAACGCUGGCGGCGUGCUUAACACAUGCAAGUCGAACGGAAAGGCCUCUUUCGGGGGGUCCUCGAGUGGCGAACGGGUGAGUAACACGUGAGUAUCCUGCACUUGACUUUGGGAUAACUUCAGGAAACUGGGGCUAAUACCGGAUAGGAGCUCCUGCUGCAUGGUGGGGGUUGGCCAGUUUCGGCGGUUUGGGAUGGACUCGCGGCUUAUCAGCUUGUGGGUGGGGUAGUGGCUUACCAAGGGUUUGACGGGUAGCCGGCCUGGGAGGGUGACCGGCCACAGUGAGACUGGGACUGGGACCAGGCCCCGACUGGUGGGGGAGGGAGGAAAGGGUGAUCUAGGAGAAGGGGCCUGAUGCUGAAACGCCGUGGGCGGGAGGACGGCGUAGGGGUUGGAAACGGAAUGCGCUCAUGACGGGGCUUUUUGUGACGGUAGUGGGAAAAGAAGCACCGGCUAACUACGUG
rnacentral:rRNA from 1 species